UACAGAGGGGGCGAGCGUUGUUCGGAAUUACUGGGCGUAAAGGGCGCGUAGGCGGCCUGCUAAGUCAUACGUGAAAUCCCUCGGCUCAACCGGGGAACUGCGUGUGAUACUGGCGGGCUUGAAUCCGGGAGAGGAAUGCGGAAUUCCAGGUGUAGCGGUGAAAUUCGUAGAUAUCGGGAGGAACACCGGUGGCGAAGGCGGCGACCUGGGUAGAUACUGACGCUGAGGCGCGAAAGCGUGGGGAGCAAACAGG
rnacentral:rRNA from 1 species